UACGAAGGGGGCUAGCGUUGUUCGGAAUCACUGGGCGUAAAGCGCACGUAGGCGGAUUUUUAAGUCAGGGGUGAAAUCCCGAGGCUCAACCUCGGAACUGCCUUUGAUACUGGGGAUCUGGAGUCCGGGAGAGGUGAGCGGAACUGCGAGUGUAGAGGUGAAAUUCGUAGAUAUUCGCAAGAACACCAGUGGCGAAGGCGGCUCACUGGCCCGGAACUGACGCUGAGGUGCGAAAGCGUGGGGAGCAAACAGGG
rnacentral:rRNA from 1 species